rnacentral:rRNA from 1 species
AUGAUGGAGAGGAGGUCGCUGAUGGAGGCGCUGGUGACGGCGGCGCAGGGAGGCUCCACGGACACGUCGGUGCUCUCCAUGCUCAAGUACGCCGUGCUGCCCAUCGCCAAGGUCUUCACCGUCUGCUUCAUGGGCUUCCUCAUGGCCACCAAGUACGUCAACAUCCUCCAGCCCAACGGCCGCAAGCUUCUCAACGGGCUUGUGUUCUCGCUUCUACUUCCUUGCCUUAUAUUUUCCCAACUGGGCAGCGCAAUCACGCUCGAGAAGUUGGUGCAGUGGUGGUAUAUUCCAGUAAAUAUUGUUGUAGGCGCCGUGUCUGGCUCCUUGAUUGGCUUUGUGGUGGCGUCUAUCAUCCGACCUCCUUAUCCGUACUUCAAGUUUACUGUUAUUCACAUUGGAAUAGGGAACAUUGGAAAUAUACCUCUGGUUCUCAUUGCAGCACUAUGUCGGGACCCAUCCAAUCCUUUUGGUGACUCUGAAAAAUGCAGCCAGGAUGGAAACGCGUAUAUCUCAUUCGGUCAAUGGGUUGGUGCGAUUAUUGUUUACACAUAUGUGUUCAAGAUGCUUUCUCCACCACCUGGAGAGACCUUUGAUGGUGAAGAGGAGAAGCUUCCGGUUCUGGCAUCUGAAGAAAACGCGAUGCCUGAACUUGGUAAAUAUCCAACAGGCACUCACACUAGUACUGUACCCGAGGAUGAGCCUUUGUUAGCUCUCGAGGGGAAUCAAAAAGGCUCUACUUCUCUAGGAUCAAAGAUAUUAAGCUGUGCUAGAUGUGUGGUGAAAUUCCUAAAAGACAAGCAACUUCUUCAGCCACCAAUUAUUGCCUCUGUCUUUGCAAUUGGAAUCGGUGUUGUUCCAUUCUUGAAGGGUUUGAUAUUCACGGAUGAUGCACCUCUAUUCUUCUUCACAGACAGCUGCCUCAUUCUUGGGGAAGCUAUGAUUCCAUGCAUUUUGCUUGCUGUGGGGGGUAAUCUUGUUGAUGGUCCUGGUGAAGGGAGUAAGAGACUUGGUGUGCGGACCACCGUUGCUAUUAUUUUUGCACGGUUGAUCUUGGUUCCAAUUGCUGGGGUUGGCAUCGUAAUGCUAGUUGAUAAGCUUGGUUUCAUUCCCAAAGAUGACAAAAUGUUCAAGUUUGUCCUACUACUGCAGCAUUCCAUGCCCACAUCAGUGCUCUCAGGUGCUGUUGCAAACCUCAGAGGGUGCGGGAAAGAAUCAGCCGCGAUCUUGUUCUGGGUGCACAUUUUUGCAGUGUUCUCCAUGGCGGGGUGGAUUAUUUUCUACUUGACGUUGCUCUUCUAA